UACGAAGGUGGCAAGCGUUGUUCGGAAUCACUGGGCAUAAAGAGCACGUAGGCGGUGAUGCAAGUCAGGAGUGAAAUCCCUCGGCUCAACCGAGGAACUGCUUCUGAAACUGCAUCGCUAGUCGGUCGGCGGGGAGAGUGGAAUUCCUGGUGGAGCGGUGAAAUGCAUAGAUAUCAGGAGGAACGCCGGUGGCGAAGGCGACUCUCUAGCCGAUUCGAGACGCUGAGGUGCGAAAGCGUGGGGAGCAAACAGG
rnacentral:misc_RNA from 1 species